GAUGAACGCUAGCUACAGGCUUAACACAUGCAAGUCGAGGGGCAGCAUGAACUUAGCUUGCUAAGUUUGAUGGCGACCGGCGCACGGGCGAGUAACGCGUAUCCAACCUGCCCUUGUCCACCGGAUAACCCGUCGAAAGGCGGACUAACACGGUAUGCAGUCCACAGCAGGCAUCUAACGUGGCCGAAAUGUAAAGGAGAAGGAUGGGGAUGCGUCGGAUUAGGUUGUUGGCGGGGUAACGGCCCACCAAGGCGACGAUCAGUAGGGGUUCUGAGAGGAAGGUCCCCCACAUUGGAACUGAGACACGGUCCAAACUCCUACGGGAGGCAGCAGUGAGGAAUAUUGGUCAAUGGACGGAAGUCUGAACCAGCCAAGUAGCGUGCAGGAUGACGGCCCUAUGGGUUGUAAACUGCUUUUAUAUGGGGAUAAAGUGAGCCACGUGUGGCUUAUUGCAGGUACCAUAUGAAUAAGGACCGGCUAAUUCCGUGCCAGCCGCCGCAGUAA
rnacentral:rRNA from 1 species